CAUGUUGAAACACCAGUUUCUAUAUGAUCACCAAAGUUAAGCAACAUUGAGCCUGGUCAGUACCUAAAUAGGUGACCACUUGGGAAUAUCAGAUGCUGUA